rnacentral:SRP_RNA from 1 species
GGGUAAGUCCUGUACGACCAGCUCCCAUUGAACCCUCCAGGGCCGGAAGGCAGCAAAGGCAGAUGGUUGUAGCGGUGCGAUACAGUAAGCUUACCCUUU